UGUUUUACCAAGGAAACUGAGUACUUCUCACGGGAUUCAAAAUACCAUUGGAUAUUCCAUAGACUUGAGAUAUGUUUCCUACAAAAAAAAUAGCAUGCUUAAUCCUUAUCCGGUUACGUACACUAAAAAAACAAUAUCAAGUUGUCCACAUGCUUUAGUAUCCAAAAUUACCAUGUCGUCAAUAUAUAUUUUGAUGGUUUCGUAUAUGUUGAGUACUGUAGACUUGCAAAUUUUGCUUACUAACUCUAUAAUUACCAUAUAAUGUUUUGUGCUUUAAUCUUAACCAUACGGUAUUGAAAAUUACUUUCUGAUAUGUUAUCUUGCUUUUUACUUUUCCAUUUUAAACGCAUUUAAAUUUGUAGUUUUUUUUAGAUGUGUAUUCAAAAAUUAAGAUAUGUAAAUUUUAAUGACAUAAGUAGCAGAAUAUAUUUUAUUAACCUUUCAUUAUACAUCAAAAACUGAAAUUGAGAUGUUACAUUUAUAAGGAGUCAUCAAAAAAGGAGGCCAAGCGAAUAUUAUAUAUAGCCAACAAAUGGGGAUAAUGAGAUUCUAUUGCAAAACACAAGUGGAUCCAUGUAGAUUACAACGAAUUAUUGAACCCACCAAAUUAAAUAUAACUUCAAUCAAGCUGGAAAUAUAAUUAAAAAUGUGAAUACAUGUCCACAUAACACAUAUAACAAAUGGAAAAAGCAUAAUGCGUCCGAAUCGGAUUAUAUGUGGAAGAAUGAUAACAAAACAACUUUUGGCCAACAUCGUGGUUGAUGAUAUUUGGCAGUUUUUGUGAUUCUCCCCACCUGGAACCUCUAUCUCUACAUAGAACAAUGAUAGUAAUAAUGCCAGUUACAAAAAAAAUAGUAAUAAUAAGGGAAUAUAUACUGCUUAUAGCUGACGAAUUCCACAAAGUUUAAUUCCCGACAGCCUAACUAAUCGUGUAUAUCGUAUGCAUAACAUGUUAUGCGGUGAACCGUCCGUGACGAAAUAUAUUCCCCAUCUUCAGUGACUUUUUGUUUUAUUUUGUACCUUAACCUGUUCCAGAUAUGCGAUUUGUCAUGAACAUGAUGGUUGUUAAUGACUUUCAAAUCUAAAUACGUUCCUAAUACCUUAUGUGCAAGUUAAAACUUUCUAUAAUUGGGAUAUAUCAAAUAUCAUGCGUGAAUACAUAUCAUGAACCUUUUUAAGAUAUUGAAUCAAUGAACUUACACAUAAAACGUAAGAAGGUGGAGUGAAUAUGUUGUUCUCUCCCACCAUGUUGGACAAAUUUGGCAAGCUGAGUUGUCAUCGAAUCAGCUUAGCUGAAUUUUUGAAGUAGCGGAAGCAUCAUCAUUGAUUUGAUACUUGAUUCGUUAUAGAUAACUAUUUAUAAGAAAACAUCAACAUAUUCUAUCUUUUGUAUUUAUACGAAAUUUUAUUCGAUGAAGAUCUGUUGAUAAGAAAACAUCAACCAACAAAAAAUAUCUCAAAUUUAUCAGUCAGACCCGUACAACUAUAUCUACAUCACAAAACCAAAAAUUAGAACUAUAUCUAAACAUAAAUAACCAGUUUAUGAUAGUCUACUAGUUGAAAGACCAUUUUCAUUUGAUAUUGAGAGAUUUUAUGGUUUGAGUCAUUCUAUGGUAUUUAAUUAUAGUUUGUGUCAAUUCGAAAUUCUCCAGCUAUAAGAAGGAAAAGACUAUAAAUUAAGAGUCAUAACCUAAGACAUAAUCGAAUAAAAGCGAAAACAAAAUGAUAAGAAAACAAAACUUUAGACUAAAAAGAAAACAAAACUUGUACUAUUUAUCAAAAACCGAUGAUUCAUAUAUUUUUUUCUCUGUAAUACGGAAACGCUUUUCAACGAGUGGUAUUAAUCCUAGUAACAUCCAGCUGCAUAAAACCAUGCGUGAAAGCCUUCUCUGACUCGAUUAAAAAAUAAAAGAAAAUAAAGUCCACCACUCAACCGGUAGAGUAGAGAGUAUGAUUUAUCCAACAACAAUGUAAGUAUAUAUGUUUAGACUCACGUCAAAAACUCGAAGAAUACAUUUUAGUUUUUGUUUGUAUUUUUAGUUAAAAUUUUGUAAGUCGAAGACAUCACGAAUUUCGAUCAAAAGAGAAAGAAAAAGGAAAGUUACAAAAUGUGUAAAGAAUACUGAUCUUUCAAUAUAAGCAUAUCCGCCAAAACAAGUGGUGGAGUGCGGGAUGAAAUUUAUUCACUGCCACCAGUAGUGCAGAAAAUAUUAAUUUUGAUUUCAAUUUUUAGAAUUAAUCUUAAAAGUAUCGUCUAGAAUAUUUUCUUGAAUUAACAGCCAUGUGAGGCUAUAUAAAGAAGCAAAAUGAAAGUAUGGCUUACAUUGUCUAAGAAAAGAUUAAGCAGCCAGAGUGAAAAAAAGAUUUAAUUUAAUAUAAUAUAAAACGGAAAGGGUUGAUAAGAUAGUGCCACGACAUCUCUCAGAUGUAUGUGCUAUAUUGUGCUGUGUUGGUGUGCUCUUUGGGAACUACACCAAAGCAGAAAUAUACCGAAAGGUCAAAAGGCGGUCUCGGAGUCACUCUUGCUGAUGUAGAAACUCUUGUCCCAGUUGAGCCGCGUCCACAUGGAACCUUUAAUACGGCAUGACGCAGCUUCACGUAUUUACAAACAGAAGAAGUUGGUUUCACCUGAUUGUAAUAUGAAACUGAAUCUGACUUCAAACUCUAUAAACAGAGCAGGUCCUAGGUUUUAUAAGACUAGAGGCGAAACAAAAUAAGCGCCACUGGUUUUAAAAUAAAAUAAAAGAAAAUAUGCAUUACUGUAGUUUCCAACCCAGAUUGACAUGCAAUAACUCAAGCUUAUACCACUAUACUAAAGAAAUAUUAUUCCCAUGCUUCUUUUGGCUUUGUCCAAAGGGCUGGUGGCUCUGUCUAUAAACUUCUCAAGACAAGAUUAAGACAAUUUAUGUGAUACAUAUUCAAGAGGUUUAUGAUGGAGCUGGAGUGAUUAGCUACUGGAAAGGUAUAAAAAGGACAUUUAUUGAUCAUGGUAUCUGAACUUAGGCUUUUGGAAUUUAUCUUAUAUUGUUUCUUUGGCUAAUGGUAUUUCCAGAUUAUUUGAUACUCUUAGGACAGUUGACCUUCUUUCUUUGGGUACAUGCGGCUAGUUGUAUUAUGUAUAAUACGGCACUCUUAGGCCAAUUGAUAAAAUGGUUCUUUCUAGCUACUCAUUGUGCCCAUCUUAAUUUAAUGCCAUAUUUGAAUGAACUUCUUCGAGUUGGCCUUCAGAGUAGAUUGUGUAUGAUUAUGAUGUUUACAUGUAAUACCUUAGUUGCAGAUGACAUGGUGUUUGAUAUGGAUGAGCGUGCGAUUGGGUUCUUAAACUCUCUCAUCAAUGAAGAAAUUGUUAGUUUUGUGUUGACUGGUUUGAGAAAACGCUUGGAUUCUAAAACUCAAUCAUCAAGGCAAAUAUUGUUGGUUUUAUGUUAACUGGUUUGGGAAGUUGCUGAAAUAUGUCAAUGGUGCCAAGAAGAGGUGGGUCAUGAGCUCCCAUAAUGAAUACAAUAGCAACAUUACAGACGAAAAUCUUCAGUCGUACUUGAACUCGAACGUAUAUAUAUAACCACAAAUCCAAACUUUCAUUGACUAUAAACAAACUAAUCUAUACUUUCUGUCUAUCUAACAUUAAGAUAUGAAUUUCAUAACAAAUACAAUCUCAAAUUUACAGAAUUGCAC